AAGAUGUGCGGUAGGAUUCCCGUGACCGUAAGGUAUGUCCACAACGGCCCGGCCCAGCCGAGCCCACACAGCAAGCUAUCUUACAGAUAAUGUACUAAGGAACCCCUUUCUGAUUCCUUUUUCACCUCCCACUCCCAGACGGAUCCAACUUCCCGAGUAGGAACAUAAAUGGAACUGCCCCUUGGCAAGUAGAGGUUACCAAUAGGAACCUGCAAACAUGCAACCCAAAAGAUGGAAGGGUCGCCAAUAAUCGAACGCGUCCUGUUCCCCCAAACCAACUCGAC